rnacentral:rRNA from 1 species
UACAGAGGGUGCGAGCGUUGUCCGGAAUCACUGGGCGUAAAGGGCGCGUAGGCGGUCUUCUAAGUCUUGUGUGAAAUCCCUCGGCUCAACUGAGGAACUGCACGGGAUACUGGAAGACUUGAGUUCGGGAGAGGGAAGCGGAAUUCCGGGUGUAGCGGUGAAAUGCGUAGAUAUCCGGAGGAACACCGGUGGCGAAGGCGGCUUCCUGGACCGAUUACUGACGCUGAGGCGCGAAAGCUAGGGGAGCAAACGGG